rnacentral:rRNA from 1 species
GAUCCUGGCUCAGAUUGAACGCUGGCGGCAGGCCUAACACAUGCAAGUCGAACUGUAACAGGAAGCAGCUUGCUGCUUUGCUGACGAGUGGCGGACGGGUGAGUAAUGUUUGGGAAACUGCCUGAUGGAGGGGGAUAACUACUGGAAACGGUAGCUAAUACCGCAUAACGUCGCAAGACCAAAGAGGGGGACCUUAGGGCCUCUUGCCAUCGGAUGUGCCCAGAUGGGAUUAGCUAGUAGGG